rnacentral:rRNA from 1 species
GAGUUUGAUCCUGGCUCAGGAUGAACGCUGGCGGCGUGCCUAACACAUGCAAGUCGAACGGAGCCUUAUCAGCAGAAGCAGCCAGCUUGCUGGAAGCGGAAGAGGGAAAGGCUUAGUGGCGGACGGGUGAGUAACGCGUGGGUAACCUGGCCCAUACAGGGGGAUAACACUUAGAAAUAGGUGCUAAUACCGCAUAACAACAGAAAGCGCAUGCUUUUUGUUUGAAAACCAAGGUGGUAUGGGAUGGACCCGCGUCUGAUUAGCUGGUUGGCGGGGUAAAGGCCCACCAAGGCGACGAUCAGUAGCCGGCCUGAGAGGGUGGACGGCCACAUUGGGACUGAGACACGGCCCAAACUCCUACGGGAGGCAGCAGUGGGGAAUAUUGCACAAUGGGGGAAACCCUGAUGCAGCGACGCCGCGUGAGUGAAGAAGUAAUUCGUUAUGUAAAGCUCUAUCAGCAGGGAAGAAAAUGACGGUACCUGAGUAAGAAGCCCCGGCUAACUACGUGCCAGCAGCCGCGGUAAUACGUAGGGGGCAAGCGUUAUCCGGAUUUACUGGGUGUAAAGGGAGCGUAGACGGCAGUGCAAGUCUGGAGUGAAAGGCGGGGGCUCAACCCCCGGACUGCUCUGGAAACUGUACGGCUGGAGUGCAGGAGAGGUAAGUGGAAUUCCUAGUGUAGCGGUGAAAUGCGUAGA